AAAUAUUAAUAAUAUACCUUAAUUACUCAAUCUGGAUUGUGGUGGGCCAUUUUAAUUUCCUUCUUUAUGCUUUUCUGGAAGUGCCACAUUUUCUACACUGAAUAUAAUUUACUUUGUUCAUCAAAAGAAAUUACCAGUGAGACUUCACAUGUGCUUUGUGCUAAAAUCUACUCACUUGUAAAAUGGGGUAAUACAAAUUUUUGUGUGAUUUAAAUUGGUAAAUGAAUGAAUAUUGUGAAGUAAAUAUUAUAAAUGGGCAAAUAAGUCUGAGGUAACCCAUAGGUUUUUGUAUGCUGUGUUUUCAUUUUUGUUUGUCUUAAGAACAUUUUAAACUUCCUUUCAAUUUAUUUAUUAACUCCUUAGUUGUUUAGAAGCAUGUUAAUAGUUAUACCAGAUAUAGAUCUUAGAUAUGAUUAUAUAUAAAUAUAAUUAAUCAUUAGUUAGUAGUACUUACUCUUUAUUCCAAUGUUAUAAUAAUCCUCGCUCUAUAAUCGUAACCGAGGAAAGGCCAGGCCAUACAGAGAU
rnacentral:lncRNA from 10 species